CACAUGCCAAACAUGUGUCAGAAACACUUCAGAGGAGCUUUGCUCUUGCUACUCAUCCCGCGCAGCCUCGUGCUGUUCCUGACAUGACCGCAAACAGCACUGUGGCACACCAGGGUUCUCGCUGUCAGGAGUGACAGUUUGAAGCCACCCUGACAGGGCUCAGUGCUGGCCCUGCUGAGCCCUGCACAAGCUCAGGAUGACGGUUCUGGCUGUGCUGAGGCUGAGCAGGGGGUGCUGGCUGCAGCAUGCUCCACAUCCCAUCACCCAGGCAGGGAUAUGGUGCAGGGGGACCUGGCUCCCUUCCAUGCUGCUUUCCCUCCCCACAAGCGAGGGCUGAAGUAUGCUGCUGUGCACUGGGGUUUUGUGGAGUUGUGCAGCCCAGGUACAGCCCCAGACUGGGAGCCUGCUUUCCUGGGCUGGGCUUACAGAUUCUGUCAUCUCCUUGGUUCACAGGAUUGUAAAUCUCCCAUGAUGUCUUUACAACACAGCUGCGAAGAGGCAAUAUCUAAAAGGCUGAGGAAGAAAAUGUCCUGCCACCUGGGAGCAGCACUCUUUAUCUCCCCAGUAACGUGCAGGUAGCUUUGAAAAAACACGCAUGAACCAGCCCUGCCAGGUGAAAAAUAAAGGCUCCUGAUUGCUAUCAUUAUUAUUAUACCACUAGACAUUUUAUUAACACUAAAGUGUGACAUUUCCCUCCAAAGAAAGGCCUUCUUCUGCCCUUCUGCAUGGCUACUUUAUUGAAUCCAAACUCCGUUUCCGAGGAUCUUCACCUGUUUAAACGCUGCUGUGUUUCUAAAAGCAAUUUAACCUUUCAUCUUUUAUGGAUGGAUCCUUUUUUAACAAAAAUCCUAUAGGGCCAUUUUUCUCCUCAUCUCCUUGUGAUCUCAGUGAUAUUACGUGAUGUAGCUUUUGAAGAAGAAAUGCCGAAACAGCAGCUUCACCACCUGCAGUUAAUGCAGCAGGAAGACGGAAAAGGCAACCUGGAAAAUUCCCUUUUCAACAUUUCUCUCACAAGCUCCUGGUAAGAAUCCCCCAAACCGACAAUGUCUCUUGCAUAGAAAUGAAGGGCAAGUGCUGAGGAAGGAGAGAAUGACCUGGAGAUUUUGCCCAUGUAAAAGCCAUCAGCUUGUUUUCCAGCCUCACAGCCGCUCAUUGCAUCAAUGACUCAAGCACCACCCAGCUUUAAGUAUUUAUUUUUGGCAGUGGCUCUGUGCUGUCCAAGGUAACUCAGUCUCCUGGGAUGAAGAAAGCCGUUCUGAACACAGCCAGUGCCCGAGAGAUGCAGUGUUUAGAGACAGAACUGUUUUCAAGGCAUUGUUGGAUAAUUUUACUGCUUACUUACCUCAUGGCUCACAGGGGAUUCUUGGUUCAAUAAAAACCAGACAACUACA